AAUUUAAUAAACGUUCUAGGUGCCAUGAUCGGAGAAUAGGGAAAUCAAAAGAGGUUGUCUAACUUCUUAAAUGAUGCGGACCCACCACUGUAAUCGGGGAUGAAACCUUAAUAACCACUACAUUUCGUAGGAAGGUAAGGGAGUAAGAAGAACCGUAAGCCAGGAGACCUGCCUAAGACGUGUCGAGUGA
rnacentral:ncRNA from 2 species